UUUCUGUUGUAAAGACUCACUUGUUUUGAAAAUCAGCUUCUCGUUCCUCUGGGUAGCAAAGAGACUAAAACUCUAGCUGGAAUAACAAAACCCAAUGUGCUUUCCUCUGUCUCAAUUGCUUCCCCAUUCCUCAGCAUGCUCUCUAUUACUCAGCUCUCUCCUCCCUUACAAACCAUCACAGAGGUUUCACAUCUCUCUCUCUUUCCCCCGUGCUUCAUAACCAGUUUCCUUCAACAGUAAUUGAAAAAGUCUCCUGUCCAUUUUUCUUCUGCUGUUGAGUGACUCCUUCAGUCCCCCUUUGUCAGAUCAUUCUUGGGGAGUGAAAGACAGCUGGUCAGCUAAUUCCCUGGGACCUUCAGCUUGGAAAGCUGCACUGGCAGGGGAGUAGCUGGCCUUUUGAGCCAUCUGAAUAACUCAAAACUGGACUGUGUGCCCUCCUGAGCCUCAUGCUGGGGAUAUGCAUUUCUCCUGAUGUUUCUCUCUCUCCUCACUAAAGUGAGGUUUAUGCCAACAGACGCAAAAGAUUUCAAGCAAAAAGGCAUCAGAGAGGAACAUUAGUGUCUCCUAAUAAGGUUUCUGCAUGGAGAACAGGUAUCCAAGAUUUAGCUUUCAUUAAAGUCCUGAAAGAGAAGUCCAAACCAUGGAAGAUCAGAGAACAUUUUGCCCAAAACUCCUCACAAUCCGUAGAAAUCCUGCUUGCUGGGCUGGAGGAUGUGACUCAGGUCACUGCCUGUAAACCCUGCCUAGCACCCAACCUUAUAGGACACCAAAGGAAAACCUGCUGAUUUCACACAGUGCUCGUGGUGGGGUUAUGACCAGCAUUGAAAGUGGGUAUGGAAAUGGUGUCAGUGAUGAGCCUCUCCUCUCCACCAGCCCACAGCCAGGUCUAAGCAGCACAUUGAGCCCUCUGGAGAGAGAAAAAAAUGUUAUAUGAAAGAAGGAGAUGGUUUAGAGAAAAGAAAUUCAUGUUCAUUGUCUUAAACGAUUGACUCUCUAGGAACUUCACUUAGCAAGUGUUGUUUCUUUGUAUAGCCUUCUUUGGAAUUUUGACCUUUUUUGGUGACCAAAUUGCUCUCUUUUGUUUUCUCAAAACUGUUUUCUAGUGGUUUGUACCCUCUACAAGUCUGUUACCACUGAUGAACGCUUCGCUUUUGCCUUUAGGGUGUGAAAACCCUCUUGCAGAACCAUUGAAUCACCUAUUAACAGAAUGCAUCACGCAGUUGGUUUGGAAAUUCACUCUAACUGCUUUUUAAUCACCUCAUUCUUUUCUUCCGAUUUCCUCCGUGGAAAAAAAAAAAAGGAAAAGAGGAAAAAAAAAUGCUAUACCCCCCCAACCCGCCCAGACCUACUUUUUAAAAGUGUUGUGCUAUUUCCUGUGGUCUUGAAGAGCACGUUGAACACAAAAAUGCGAACCUGAAGUAUCUCUGUGCUCUCUUGUUGACGUCAAAGGCAGCAGGUAGGCAGAGAAACUCCAUGCCGACUCCCAGGAAACCCUCAGCCUUGCAGGGAGCUGCUGGGUCAGCUGGGUAGUAAGUCUGCCAGGAAUUCCUCCUUUUCCAUGCUACUGUGUGGUCUCUAAAGUCCCUGCCAGGACUGUAAACAUAUUCUUGCCAGACAUGCAGACAGAAAUGCUUUUUUCCCCUCUCAGCAUCCCUGUGUGCUGAACAGGGCCAGUGGUUUAUGUGCCUCUCUGGGGCAAGUAAGGCUGAGCCAUGUGUGAUGUACUCAGGCUCUUACCUGGAAUAUGCUGUGGAAGAGAUACUUGCUGGAUAUAUAUGCACAUUUCAGUGCUUGAAAUGUAAAUAAUACUGGGUACCUGUGGUGGGCUGACCCCAACCAGCUCCCUAGUGGCCACCCAGCCACUCUCACUCCCCCUCCUCAACAGCACAGAGGGGAGAAAAUAAGUUGGAAAGGCUCACGGUUGAACAAAUACAGGUAGAUGAAUUAUCAAUUAUCCUCACCACCAAAACAGACUCAGUUUGAGGAAACUAAUUUAUUGCCAGCUGAAGGAGGUUUGGAUGGUGAGAAACAAAGACAAAGCAACACCUUCCACACAUCUCCACCCUUGUUUUUUCCCUUUGUGCCUUCAUUUCCAGCUCCUCUAGCUGUGCAGGGACAGUGACUGAGGCAUUAGAAACAGCUGUGUGUUAGAGAUGUGUGGGAAGUGGAGGUAAUUAAUAAUUAAUAAGUACUAUCUGUGUCUGUAGGCAGGUAUUUUUACCCCUUAAAUGGAGCAAGCCCACACGUAAUACAACCUCCAGCCAGCCAGGGAGCAGGGAAAGCUGCCAGCACUUUAGGCAGCGCCCUUGAAAUGUGUUGUGUUUACAUUUGUAAGGAAAUCGAAUGUAAUCGUAUUGUAGUUGAUGUAAUGCUUUUAUUUCCAAUGUUAGCUAGUUCCCUAAUAUCAAGCUUAAAACCUGAAGGGCUGGAGGACUCCUGUGGGGAACAUCUGUUUGUUUUGUGGGUCUGGCUGGAGCUACCUGAGCUGCUGGGGAUACACUGACCCAAGUCCUUACGUGUGUGUUGGGGAAAGGAUGGUGGUCUGAAGUCUGUUAAAAAUUAAAUUGAUCAGCUAGUGGCUGGAAAGGAAAGCCUGAAUAGAAACUAAGAAAUGCCUCUUUUUAGUGAGAGACAGCUCAGAGCAAGGAGGGAGAAUAAAAGAGAGGUAAAACAGGUUUCUCUGCAGUGCUUGGUCCUCGCAGCCUGACCUUGCCUCCAGCUACCAACACACUCUUGCUGCUACAGAGAAGUCUCUGUCACCCCAAAGACUUGCCCUUCUGCCACAGGCUCACACCAUGAUCCCCCUAGGACUCAUUCCCUGCCCUCCCCAUGAAGUCUGGCAGUGUCUGCAAGAUUUCUGGACCUGGCAGACAAGUGACUUGGUGAGCAGCCAGGAAAUGUGUUUGGGGGAAGGUUAGGACACAGAGGUGCCACAGUAAGUGCUGGGGAGUGGGAAAUGCCCUGAAUGCCUUACUUGAGACUGGAGCUGGGUAAAGAUGAGUAUGAGGGCUGACUGAAGGGUGGAGCUAUAUUAGAGCACUUCAAACUCUAUUUGGAUGAGCAAAGAGUGCAUCCUUUCACUUCAUAAGGACAUUAAAUUCACAGAUAUGGUGUC